GGGGAUGGAGCGCUGCUGGUGUUGCGUGCGGUCUUCAAAACCGUUGUGGGGCAGAUAAACGCUGUCCUGGGUGGGUUCGAUUCCUACGCAUCCCCG
rnacentral:tRNA from 1 species